AUACGGAGGGUGCAAGCGUUAUUCGGAAUCACUGGGCGUAAAGGACGCGUAGGCGGGUUGGCAAGUCAGAUGUGAAAUCCUACAGCUUAACUGUAGAACUGCAUUUGAAACUGCUAACCUAGAGUAUGGGAGGGGGAGAUGGAAUUAGUGGUGUAGGGGUAAAAUCCGUAGAUAUCACUAGGAAUACCGAAAGCGAAGGCGAUCUCCUGGAACAUAACUGACGCUAAGGCGUGAAAGCGUGGGGAGCAAACAGGAUUAGAAACCCCAGUAGUCG
rnacentral:rRNA from 1 species